CCUACGGGGGGCUGCAGUAAGGAAUAUUGGUCAAUGGACGAAAGUCUGAACCAGCCAUGCCGCGUGGAGGAUGAAGGUCCUCUGGAUUGUAAACUUCUUUUAUAUGGGACGAAAAAAGGCUUUUCUAAGUCGUCUGACGGUACCAUAUGAAUAAGCACCGGCUAACUCCGUGCCAGCAGCCGCGGUAAUACGGAGGGUGCAAGCGUUAUCCGGAUUCACUGGGUUGAAAGGGUGUUGGUGUGGGAGGGUAGAAAUCCCCGAGCGUAACUUGGGAACUGCCAUUGAUACUAUCAGUCGUGAAUACCGUGGAGGUCAGCGGAAUAUGUCAUGUAGCGGUGAAAUGCUUAGAUAUGACAUAGAACACCAAUUGCGAAGGCAGCUGGCUACCCGAAUAUUGACACUGAGGCACGAAAGCGUGGGGAUCAAACAGGAUUAGAUACCCGUGUAGUC
rnacentral:rRNA from 1 species